AUUGAACGCUGGCGGCAGGCCUAACACAUGCAAGUCGAGCGGUAGAGAGAAGCUUGCUUCUCUUGAGAGCGGCGGACGGGUGAGUAAUGCCUAGGAAUCUGCCUGGUAGUGGGGGAUAACGUUCGGAAACGGACGCUAAUACCGCAUACGUCCUACGGGAGAAAGCAGGGGACCUUCGGGCCUUGCGCUAUCGGAUGAGCCUAGGUCGGAUUAGCUAGUUGGUGAGGUAAUGGCUCACCAAGGCAACGAUCCGUAACUGGUCUGAGAGGAUGAUCAGUCACACUGGAACUGAGACACGGUCCAGACUCCUACGGGAGGCAGCAGUGGGGAAUAUUGGACAAUGGGCGAAAGCCUGAUCCAGCCAUGCCGCGUGUGUGAAGAAGGUCUUCGGAUUGUAAAGCACUUUAAGUUGGGAGGAAGGGCAUUAACCUAAUACGUUAGUGUUUUGACGUUACCGACAGAAUAAGCACCGGCUAACUCUGUGC
rnacentral:rRNA from 1 species